GUUUAGUCGGUUUAAAUGUUAGAAUUUUCUUCUUUAAACUUUAAUGUUGUCGUCACUACAUCUGGAAAACCACGUAAGAACAAAUUAAAAGUAUUUUAAAAGAGAUCAGGUUGUUUGAAAAUCCUAAACGAAUGCUAAAAAUCAUAGAAUAAAAACAUUCUGGUGUCUGAGCCAGAGUGUCAUCGAAUUGCGAUGUAAUGUAAACAGAAAUUAUAGCAAGUUGAUGUCAGUCAGCUUAGAUGGUCCAAGCCAAAAUUAUAUCGCAUUUGAAGUUUAAAACUGAGUUAAAAAUAGUGGAAGAAAAGCCGUAAUUAUACUUAUUGUUACAAUCCAUUUAUUAAAAUGCAACAUUUUUUUGUUUUGAUGAAAAAAUCAGUUAUUUUCAUGAGAACGAUUUGUUAUUCCAUCUCAAUUUUUUUAAUCUCCAAUCGCAAUGACGUAAAGUAUUAUUACCCGCGAACCAAUGAGUCAAAUUUAAGAAACAACCUACUGUUAGAAAGCUGAAUGGCUACGCUUUAAAAUGAAUGUAAACUUUAACGUUUUCGUAUAUUAUUUGUUUAGCAAUUUACAUUUCAGUCGAGGAUUGCGCUUUUUUUGAUACACCCUGUAUAGCCCGACGUUUGGGGUCAAGUAUUUCUGCUCAUAACUCAGAAAAACUAUUUUGGCUUCAUCAAAUCAUAGGCCUUCAUCAUAGCAGUUAGCCUUCCAGUUGAUUUAUAGUUCAAUGGUUUACACUUGUACCAGAUAGCUUUCCGUAGCGAAAAAAACACCUAUCCGUAUCUUUAGGAAUUAAUGGAGAGAUGAUGUUUCGCUCAGCUUCUGAAAGUUGUACAUUCCGUAUCUGAUAGUUGCUUUUUCGCGCCGCUACGGAAACCUAUCCGGUAUAGUGUCAAGGUCGCCUGAAUCAUAACAUGUAAAGCAAAAUAAAGAAAGGUACACUUACAGUUAAACCGAAUGUUUUCUUGCGAGUAACAUUGCAAUAUUGUCCCAUAAUAUGUUAGAAAUAAAUAUUGUUG